rnacentral:rRNA from 1 species
CUUACCAUGCAGUCGAACGAUGAAGCCCAGCUUGCUGGGUGGAUUAGUGGCGAACGGGUGAGUAACACGUGAGUAACCUGCCCUUGACUCUGGGAUAAGCCUGGCAAACUGGGUCUAAUACCGGAUACGAACGUCCACCGCAUGGUGGUUGUUGGAAAGAUUUAUCGGUCAUGGAUGGACUCGCGGCCUAUCAGCUUGUUGGUGAGGUAAUGGCUCACCAAGGCGACGACGGGUAGCCGGCCUGAGAGGGUGACCGGCCACACUGGGACUGAGACACGGCCCAGACUCCUACGGGAGGCAGCAGUGGGGAAUAUUGCACAAUGGGCGAAAGCCUGAUGCAGCGACGCCGCGUGAGGGAUGACGGCCUUCGGGUUGUAAACCUCUUUCAGUAGGGAAGAAGCGAAAGUGACGGUACCUGCAGAAGAAGCACCGGCUAACUACGUGCCAGCAGCCGCGGUAAUACGUAGGGUGCGAGCGUUAUCCGGAAUUAUUGGGCGUAAAGAGCUCGUAGGCGGUUUGUCGCGUCUGUCGUGAAAGUCCGGGGCUUAACCCCGGAUCUGCGGUGGGUACGGGCAGACUAGAGUGCAGUAGGGGAGACUGGAAUUCCUGGUGUAGCGGUGGAAUGCGCAGAUAUCAGGAGGAACACCGAUGGCGAAGGCAGGUCUCUGGGCUGUAACUGACGCUGAGGAGCGAAAGCAUGGGGAGCGAACAGGAUUAGAUACCCUGGUAGUCCAUGCCGUAAACGUUGGGCACUAGGUGUGGGGACCAUUCCACGGUUUCCGCGCCGCAGCUAACGCAUUAAGUGCCCCGCCUGGGGAGUACGGCCGCAAGGCUAAAACUCAAAGGAAUUGACGGGGGCCC